CUCCGUCGUCUUCUGAGACUUUUCAUACGCAGAGAUCUCGCCCUCGUGAAUCCUUCGCCUCCGAUCGAUACCCUAGUUCUUGAUGCUCCUCUGAGGGAGGAGUGGAAGCGAUCGAGGCAUGGAUCGGAUCGUCGGCGGGAAGUACAAGCUAGGGCGCAAGAUCGGGAGUGGAUCCUUCGGCGAGAUCUUUCUCGCGACACACGUCGACACGUUUGAGAUCGUCGCGGUUAAGAUCGAGAGCACUCGGUCCAAGCAUCCACAGUUACUAUACGAGGCCAAGUUGUACAACAUUCUUCAGGGUGGAAGUGGUAUCCCUAACAUAAAAUGGUGUGGCGUCGACGGAGAGGAUAAUGUGCUUGUUCUUGAUUUGCUUGGUCCAAGCCUUGAGGAUCUGUUUGUCUAUUGCGGUCGCAAGUUCUCGUUAAAGACAGUUCUGUUGCUUGCAGAUCAGAUGCUUUCAAGAAUAGAGUAUGUGCACUCAAAGGGUUUUCUACACAGAGACAUAAAACCUGAUAACUUCCUAAUGGGUCUCGGUCGAAAAGCCAAUCAGGUAUACAUCAUUGAUUUUGGGCUUGCAAAAAGAUAUAGGGAUUCUACCACCAACCGUCAUAUUCCAUACAAAGAAAAUAAGAGCUUGACUGGAACUGCUCGUUAUGCAAGUUGCAAUACUCAUCUAGGCAUUGAGCAAAGUCGUCGGGAUGAUUUGGAAUCUCUAGGUUAUGUUUUUCUCUAUUUCCUCAGAGGGAGUCUUCCAUGGCAAGGUCUGAAAGCUGCCACAAAGAAACAGAAGUAUGAUAAGAUUUGCGAGAAGAAGCUUUCAACUCCUAUUGAAGUUUUAUGUAAAUCUCAUCCUGUGGAAUUUGCUUCAUACUUCCAUUACUGCCACUCUUUGACAUUUGAGCAACGGCCUGAUUAUGGAUUUCUAAAGCGCCUCUUCCAUGACUUGUUUAAUCGUGAAGGUUAUGAAUCUGAUUAUAUUUUUGACUGGACGAUUUUGAAGUAUCAGAAAGCCCAAAGGACAAAAUCUCAGCUUCGGUUCUCUCCAGUUGCUGGUGGGAUGACUAGCCUCCGACCGACUCCAAUGGAUGUUGACAAACAUCAAGUUACAAAUGCACAUAAUGUUCCUCGCCCUCAUGAAGUUACAGAGCAUAUUGGACCAAGUAGUUCUGCAUGUCCUACGGUUCAAAUGCAGUUCAAGCUUGCAGCUGAUAAUACUUUGAGUUCUGACAAUCAGCAAAUUGACAAGUUGAAGGUGGGAACAAGCUCUGAGAAAGCACAAGCACCAAGUACAUCAUUUGCUUUUCCUGGUGCACCAAAGAAAAAUGUCAUUAGUUCCAAACAAUCAGGUCCAACUGAUACUUCGCACCUUGGUUCAUCCAGCAGUUGGAUCUCUAUGAUACACCGCAAUACCUCAGCCAAAUGACUGGUGUAGGUUCAAAUGGAGGUUAGGUCCCACAAAAGAGGAAGCCUAUGCUACAAAGGUGGCUUCAAAUCUGUUGUUACUCGAGUCGCUUCAUGGAUAUCAGGAUACAUAGUGUUUUCGUGUUAAGUUUUCAGGUGCCUGUCUCCUUGCUUUUUAUUGUCUUUACCAUGUUGCAGUACAGCUAUAACUAACAUGAUGCUGUUGUGGUAGAGAGCAACAUAUAUGCUUUUGAAGGUUUCUGACAAAGAUUCUGGAUCAAGCAACUUGAUGAAAAACAUGUCUUCAGUAUGGAAAACAUGAACAAAUUUUCAGAGAGCACAAAAAAGGAAUGUGGGGUGGCGCCAUGCUUCUCACCAACGCCCAGUUCACACCCUCAAAGAAGUGGUGUUGCUUGAUUUCUGUAGCACCUCUGUGGUAAGCAAUUCUUCUUUGUGGGUCCUUCACAAGCAGGCCUUGGAUGAGGUCUCGAGCAACCAGGCUCACGAGUGGGGUUUCCGGAAACCUCAGCGGUUGGCCGACCACAUUAUGAAGCGUGGCACGGUUGCCUGAUCCCUUGAAGGGGGUCGUGCCAUGCAAAAGCUCGUACAGAAAGAUCCCAAACGUCCACCAGUCCACUGCACUGCCAUGUCCCUCGCCUCGAAUGAUCUCCGGCGCUAGGUACUCGUGUGUCCCGACGAACGACAUCGAUCGGGCGUUUGUUGGCUCUGCCAUGAACUCCAAGGCAGAGCCAUUGUUGAUGCCGAAAUCGGAUUUGGAUUUGCGGUUCUUCUUGGGGAGGAUGCGAGGAAAGAAUGUGGAUGGCUGGAUGCAGCUCUGUAUCGGUGGCUCGCCAUCAAACAUGUCGUUGCCGCUACUGCCGCCGCUGCUCCCACUGCGAACGGAUGAGGAUUUGACUAGGGUUGGAUCAACAGAACACCGCAGCGAGAGAUCGAAGUCCGACAGCAUGAUGUGGCCUUCCUCCCUCACGAGAACAUUUUCUGGCUUCAAGUCUCUGUACACGAUGCCGAGCAUGUGCAGGUACUCGAGCGCAAGCAACACUUCAGAAGCAUAGAACCUGCUUCCUCAACAAUUACAAUAGAAUGAAUGAAUAAAACGUUUUCAAAGAUUA